GCCCGGCAAGGCUCGGCUAAAUUACAGUACACUGUAGCUAAAUCACUGGUCUUUUCAGCACCAGUUCAAAGGUGGGACAGUUAAAGGAGGCUAUGGUUAGGCGGCACCUUACGCUUCUUAGCAUUCGGCGUGCACAUUGCCAGCGAGCCAGCUUCGAGCUUUGGGCCGACGACUGCGGGUCACACCAAUGAACAAGUCCACUUCCUGUUGCUGCGUUUCCUGGAGAAGAAAGAUGCACAGGGCUUCACAAACGUUCCUGUGGCUGUAACCCAGUUCGGUAGCCCCAAAGGGAAGAGCUAUAGGAAGAGUCAAAUUCAAGCCAAACUUUUGGAAGGGUUCUUUUCCGUUGAAUAAUGAAAUGGCGGCAUGUCAAAAAGAAGUGUUCCGGAGAUUUACUCUCACUACUGAAUAAAGGACACAAGGGCAAUAUAGCCAGACCAGACCUUUGGAGAUAAAAGUUCAGUGGGGGGACUUGGCACCAUAGUCUUGUAAUCACUACUUCAAUUUUUCUAGAGGAGCACCAUUUGUUAUUCCAAGGAAAACUGAGAUGCGGGAAAUCAGAUGUUGCCAAUGAUGAUUGCACGAACUUAUUUGUAGUAGCAUAUUUUCUUAAUUGUGCUGGCAGUGAUGAAAGCUGACGAAGGUAAAUGGAGAUUAUAGGACCAUCGUGGGAUGCUACUGCGAUUGUACCUGCACAUUCGUUUAAUGCUAGGCCUUUGUGACCUGGCACCCACACUAAACGAACAUGACGUAAGUGUCUUGGGUGAAGAGAAUUUGGGUGUGGUUAGUGAAAAACAGACAGAAAGGCCAUCAGUUAAGAUUAUGGCUGAUGACAGAGACGGUGGUAAUUUCCGUAAAGCUGAGACAAUUGCCAAUAAUUCCGCCUGAAAGACAGGUGUGAAGUCAGGUAGCCGAAUCGAAAAAGACCAAUUUAGAUGUGAUGAUACAAUACGCAUCCCUGCCUUUUUUUCACAGACAGAAGCAUCAGUUGCUAUAACGGUCUUUGUGUGCAGGCGUGCAAGGUGCUCUUCCAGAAUACUAUUCAGAUAUUGAUAGGGAAGAUGUUUGGCAUUAUUUUUAAAAAAUCAUCCAAUUUAAUUUUAGCAUCUGGAACCGAAGAAUUUAGUAAGGCCACCUCACAUAGGUGAACGUUUAAUGAGUCCAGUAGUUUUCGAGUGAAAGUAACUUGAGGGCAACGUGAGCGAUUUCAGUGACAGUUAAAAAAUGAGCUUAACAAAAACAUAUUGUGAUCUCUUCUGUGGAGAUGCGUAUAUCUUUAGAAAAGUUUGUACUGAUAGGAUAUGAAAUUGCAUGAGAAGAGAAGGCAGGCGUGCUUCUCGAUAUAUUGUUGGCAACAAAUUUAGGAAGCCGAAGACAAACAUAAUGCCUCUCAUUCUAAUGGAAUCGGAGGCCGAAGAGUCGAGCGAAAAUGAAACCUUUCAACCGCGCGUCCUCGUCAACGGUAAUUUCAAUGAGUUCUUUUUUCUAAAAAUGAAAUGGAACUGGACAAGUAGCAUUUUAUUUCAUUUUAUAAUACAAUAGAAGAAUGUUUUUUGCAACAAGUCGUUGAAUACUAGUGACAGAUUUAACUGAGGAGUGCUUUCGUCAUCGGGCAAGUGCUAUAAUGUCCGGGGGGCUUUUUUUAUAGUUUUAUGUAGAAAUGUUUCUUUGUACACCGAUAUAAAUUUCUGUAGGAAAGAAGUAGGAAGCUAAAGUAUAAUUGGAAACUGGCUGCCAGCUAUGUCUCCUUAUUGAAUUCUGAAAAUUGCUCAAGGUUGCAGGUUAAUGGCUUGUACCACUGUCUGGCUAAGUUAUUGGAAGACUCGAUGGUACUGCAGCAUGUAAGAUAGACAGGAAGGUGAUCACUUAGUGAUCGAUCUAUUGGUGCUUAACCACUU